rnacentral:lncRNA from 1 species
AGAAAGAUGAGUGAAAUAAGUAAUUUGUAGAGGGAUAAAGAUAAUAUCUCUUACUCUAAACUUUCUCCCUUUCCAGUGAGUUCAUGAAUGUCUUGAUUUUAGAGCUUGAUUUAUUGACAUCUUUUCUCACAGGUGGUCUAUCUGAUUAAAACCCUGCCAUCAAGACCUUAUAAUCUAUCAUCUUAUUCAUGAAGCCAGGAAAGGGAUAUUAUACAUUACUACUUACAUAAUCACAGGUAGAAGACUAAUAAGUCAAAAUAAAUUUCAAACUAGCCAUUAAACACUAAAAUCCUGAAAAUUCCCUUAGGAUUAUUUCUUCAGGAAUUGCAAUUAUGCCACCUUUCCUAUAAACCUCAUUCAUUUCAUUUUAUAAAGGAAGUAUAUACACAUAUGCUACAUGUAUACAUACAUCUGGUGUCUGGUGGAAUCAUACACAUUGUAUACAUAUGGGGUGUUUGUGCAUAUAUGUGUAUUGGAACACAUAGCUAAAAAUGAGGAACAGAAAAAUCCUGACUUCUCAAUCUUUCAUUAAUGCAUAAAGAAAUCUAUUAACCGACAUUUCCCAAUAGUCUGGGGUAGAUUGUGGAAGGAGGAGUUCAGGCCAGAGUCUAGUUGUAAGUCUUCCUUGUGGCCAAAUAGCAUUCUACCAUGUCUAUUUUCUUUAUCCACUUAUCCAUUGGUGGAUACUGAGGUUAUUUCCUUAUCUUAGCAAUUAUGAACAAUACUAUGAUAAAAAAUGGGUAUGCAGGUAUUUCUUUAUUAUAUUGAUUUUCCUUUUUUAAUAUUUUUUAGUAGUUGUACGUGCACAUGUGGUGCUGAGGAUCUAAGCCAGUGCCUCAGGAGUGAUAGGCAAUCACUACUAGUGAGCCACAAUCUCAGCCCUUCAUUUCCAUCUUAUAAUAUAUACCUUGUAAUAUAAUUAACUUUUUGUUACAUAAAAUUGUACAAAUUUAU